rnacentral:rRNA from 1 species
AGAGUUUGAUCCUGGCUCAGAGCGAACGCUGGCGGCGUGCCUAACACAUGCAAGUCGAACGUGAAAUGGGGCAACCCAAAGUAAAGUGGCGUACGGGUGAGUAACGCGUAGGUAAUCUACCGAAGAGUCUGGAAUAACCUGCCGAAAGGCGGGCUAAUACUGGAUAGAGCGAGGGGAUCCGUAAAAGGAUCUUUCGGGAA